AUGGCAACGUCGUCAUCAGGUCGCUCAAGUUCGUCAGCAACCUUCGCACCCACGGGCCGUACGGGAACGCGUGCGGCGUGCGGUUCUCGCUCCCAGCGGGCGCCGGCGGCAGGAUCGUCGGCUUCCAUGCGCGGUGUGACGACCAGUACCUCCACGCCAUUGGCACCUACGUCAAGAUGGACGACCGUGCAUCGUGAUCGACCGCAAAUUCGUUUGUAUCGUGUAGCGACUGUUUUUGCUUUCAUUCAUCUAGCUAUUUCAUUUCGCUUGCUGCUUCUCAAGUCUCGACUCCGUCGAUGA
rnacentral:rRNA from 1 species